AGGAGAGGAAGAGCGGCUUCCGGUGGUCUCCACCGAGGAAGUUCCCCCCUCCAUCUAGGUGCUGGUGUGGCUUAAGCCACAUGAGGAGACUCAUAGUACGGGUACAGAAACGGCAUACCUCUUUUGAUAUGGUGAUGACGCGGCUGAGAGUUUCUCGAGUUAACCGCUGGUGACAGCGGUGUUCCCGCUGAAGACCUUAAGAGUUAUAUUGAAACGACCCGCACCAAGGAGCAAGCCCAAAUAGGCUUUCGGUGAGGAACCUAGCCGAGAAAGCGGGUAGGGCGCUUAGUUUAAUGCCGCUAGAGCGGUCUUGGCGACGAGGCCGCUGUAACAUAAGGGGGGCUACUCUCCUGACCU
rnacentral:RNase_P_RNA from 3 species